UGCCAGGUACAGCACAAUGGCUACGUGUGAAUCAUGUCAGAUCAGGAAUGAAGCAGCAUUAAGCAUUGUUAGUCGUGUGUUGCUGUUCGCCUGGCAUUU
rnacentral:SRP_RNA from 1 species